rnacentral:rRNA from 1 species
AUUGAACGCUGGCGGCAGGCCUAACACAUGCAAGUCGAGCGGAUGAAGGGAGCUUGCUCCUGGAUUCAGCGGCGGACGGGUGAGUAAUGCCUAGGAAUCUGCCUGGUCGUGGGGGAUAACGUCCGUACACGGGCGCUAAUACCGCAUACGUCCUGAGGGAGAAAGUGGGGGAUCUUCGGACCUCACGCUAUCAGAUGAGCCUAGGUCGGAUUAGCUAGUUGGUGGGGUAAAGGCCUACCAAGGCGACGAUCCGUAACUGGUCUGAGAGGAUGAUCAGUCACACUGGAACUGAGACACGGUCCAGACUCCUACGGGAGGCAGCAGUGGGGAAUAUUGGACAAUGGGCGAAAGCCUGAUCCAGCCAUGCCGCGUGUGUGAAGAAGGUCUUCGGAUUGUAAAGCACUUUAAGUUGGGAGGAAGGGCAGUAAGUUAAUACCUUGCUGUUUUGACGUUACCAACAGAAUAAGCACCGGCUAACUUCGUG